AUUUAAAAAAGACAAAUGUAAUAGAAGAAACAAGCCCAUUAACCCAUUUCAAGGAAAAUGAGGUUACAUUUUACUCUUCACAGUGUUUGUUUAGAUUUAGAAUUAAACAGGCUACAGAAUGGGAAAUUGUUCAGAUGACACAAACCUUAAGGGGUGGGUUGCUUGUUUUUUGUUUUGUAUUGUCCUGGUUUUUUAAUUUAUUUUUAAACUCCCCCCCUACCUCUCCCCCCUCACUGUCCCCUUAUAUCUGUGCAGUUCCUGAAACAAAGUGGGCUGGAGAAGUUCAGUCUCAGUUCACAGAAGAGAACAUUCUGUACUCUGCACAACAGGCAGGACUGCUGUAAAACAAGAUCAACAACAUGAUCUCAGCAGCAGCACUACAACAGGGAAACUCUCAAUACUUGAGUCAUCCCAAGGAUUUCUCCUUUUACGUACCCCACACACAGAGCGUGUGAUCAAGGGAAAUCUUCUGUUUGACAUGAAGGGAGGUUGGGGAGAAAGUCAUACAAUGAACCUCAGAACCAGCAUAUUUCCAAGUUAAGAGAGUGCUUGCAGGUGCUAGGGAGCAGGGAGCGCUGGAUCCAUCUACCCCCAUGCCACUGCCAGAAUGUAGACAAGCCCGAUGAGUCCAAAACUUGGACCUGACAGUCAGCAACAUUGAGAUCCUGAGUGGUGAGCAUGCGAUUUCUUCUUUUCUGUAACAGUAUAUCUUUGCUUGUCUGUGCCCUCUAGCAAUAUCUUAGUAAUCUUUGGGGUUUAAAUAGUUAAUUCUAGAAUAUUAUUAUUUUCUGUUGGCCUGAGGUGCAGAUGUGAAUCUUCAACAGGACUUCAAUUGCAGUUGCUUGUGACUUUUUACCUAACAACAUCCUGUAAGGAGAAAAUGCAUCACAUCACACACUUCCUACAAAAAAGAUUCCCAUGAAUGAAAUGUCAUUGAUGCAUUGCAGCUCUGGUGCAAUGGCCAUCGUUUGGAAACAAGUUUGAAUAAAGUCACUAGGCAUUUUGUAAAUUGUAACUAGAAAUAUUAAUGAGGGAUGAACAGUCUGCUCAUGUAAGAGAAAAGACAUCAUUCAGGUGAAUGCUUUCAUAUAAUUCCUAUAAUAUUGAAGGGCUGUUUAAAAAUUUUUGCUGGGGCACACUAUAAUUUGUUCAGGCAGGUAUGAAACUUGCCAGCCGUCCUUCCUGUAGAUAUGCAGGUAUCUCCUGCAUGUAACAUCAACAUGACUGUGUCUUUCUUUGAAAAGUAAGAUUUUUUUCUUUAUAAUAUGCAUGCUAGCCUCACAGUACACCUGUAAGCAACAUGGGUUAGCAGUAUAUUAGGUCUGUAAAAACUCUGUUGCAUAUUGAAAUUCUAUAUGUAUGUAGUUGUUAUGUAAAAAUAUGGUUUUAUAUAGUCGCUAUAUAAAAAAUAAAUCAUAUAUUCAAUUAUUAGGAUCAUAGGUCAAUAAAAACACAACCUUAUCCCUUUUAUCCAUUGUGAAUACAAACCUGUUGUACAUUGCUUUAUAAUGCACAAUUUACCGAAUAAGCAGUAAUAUAGAAUACAGCAUAAUAUCCAGUUAAUAUUAAUAUUAAUAUUCAGUUAAUAUCCACACAUUUUAAGUGUGGCUGAAACAAAGAUAAACCACUAUUUGUUAUCCUUUUUUAAUAUAAAUCUUUUCACUAGAAAAAAGAAGCACUGUUCUAAAUAGUUGUGAUGCUUAUUUGUUUGGCAGUAACAAAUGGCAGUUUCUCUUUGUAGCUGUCACCACAAAGCUGCGUGAAUAUCAAACACCCCAAACUGAUCCAAUAAUACUGAGGGCUCAUUGUUUUUAGUGCUGGAUUCAAAGACAGUCACAUGAAGCUCAUGAAUUAUAGGACUACUAAUUCAAUAUAAAUACUAUGUAGAAUGAAGCAAGGUAGAUAUAGCCGUACAAGGGAGAAAGGCAUGGGAAAAACAUGGAAAAGAAAGAAGAGUAUCUGAAUGAUUCUGGCUAACAAGCAGCUUCCAGACUUACCAAAGACCAUCCCCCUCCCCUUGUAUGGCAGUAUCAGCAGCUUGUACUAAUUGGAAAAGAAUAUUAUUUAAAAUAAUUUGAUAAUUAAAUAACAUUUUAAUAAGAAGCCAUACCAAUUCAUACUGUGGUCUGGUCAGGUCUCAUAAACCAGGCAGAGGCUUUGGACGAAAUGUGAAAGAUGCUGUCUACAGGUAGCAAUUAAAAAUUACUUUUAGUGACAACAGAGGUGCUACUCUCCUGUUUAAAUUCCAGCUUGAGUUUGUCAUGACCCAAAGGCAUGAUUUUGUGUGUGCUUCGGCACCAGAAUUAUCCCCGCC